rnacentral:lncRNA from 1 species
UUUUCUUGCUUCAAAGUUUUCAGGUUUUCCGCUGAUUCACAGAUAAUCAAAGAUCCCAAGAAAUAUUGAUCGAUGGCUCUCUUGAGGACUGCAACUUUUCUAAUUUUUUCGGUUUUGUUCGCGUCGAUGUUUAUUCAAGAAGGAAAUGCAAUGAGACCUUUGGGUGUGGAGCAAUGGCUAAAAAGAGAAGCUCCAUUAAUGGCCUCUCUUCCAAGGGGUGAUGUGCCGUCCUCCGGUGGUUCUAAGUGCACUUAUAUUCCGGGUGGCGGCAGCACUGGCUCGUGCCCAAUAAACGAAAAGCACUAUGCUGGUGGUGGCGCCACUCAUGCACCGCCAGAUUCUCAUACUACUACAUAAAUUGUCUCAUCUUCUGUGGAAAUUGAUGAAACCGGAAACAAGGAUUCAAGUUUUUAAGCCUUCUUGUACAUGAAAAUAUAGGAAGAACACAAAAUAUAGCUAGUAAUUGUAACUCUUUUAUACAAUUUAUUUAUAUUUCUUGUUUCUCCUACUUGGAGAAAUCAAUACAAGUUUUGAUUGUUUAUCUUCUAAUUGCAUAGGUAUUUUUUCAUGGUAUAUGGUUACUCAGGCUCUACUUGUGGCUUUUGUAUUUAGCUCCUUUUGAUUUGAAUACAUAUCAUAUUUUUAAUAUAUGUUGA